ACGUUUGCUAUUAAUAGCAUUCUAGCUCAACUAUAUAUAUAGAGAGAAAAAGAGAGAAUGAGAGAGAGAGAGAGAGAGAGAGAGAGAGAGAGUAGAGCUUCUGUGCUUUUAAAAGCACAGGAGCUCUUGUGCUUGGGAUUUUUGCACCAUUGGAUUGGCUUCGCCUCGAGAUUCGUGCGCAGUUAAUGUGUCACGCCCCGGGGUCCCUUUUUGGUUUAAAAGUAAAGGGGAAGUGCCCAAAAUUUUUUUUUUUGAAAACCUGACCCCCAGGGUAUGUCAGAUCCGCCACAAAUACAGGAAUUCCACUGUUCACAAGAACAGAGUCUCCCCUGUAUUUGCACGGCGUCGCACAAGUACAAGAUACAUAAACAGGAUACAACUACCACAACUGAAUAUACAAAUAUUUAUACAUUCAUACAUUCAUACACCAUUCACAUUCAGAUUCACAUUCAGAGUUUAACAUAAAUCCACAACUAUUAGUUUAAAAUGUUUCCUACCCGGAAACUUGUUUUGAAAUACCAAGUCAUGAAAACCACAAGAAAACUCUUUUAAAAACCGUUUUCCACACAGAAACUUUUUCUUUUUAAAACUCGCUACCACGAGGGGUAGAAAACCAUUUUCAUUUCACGAAAAUUCACAAAUCCUUU
rnacentral:lncRNA from 1 species